rnacentral:rRNA from 1 species
CCUACGGGAGGCAGCAGUGAGGAAUAUUGGUCAAUGGUCGGGAGACUGAACCAGCCACGCCGCGUGAGGGAUGAAGGUACAGAGUAUCGUAAACCUCUUUUGUCAGGGAACAAAGGCGGGGACGUGUCCCCGGAUGAGUCUACCUGAAGUAAAAGCAUCGGCUAACUCCGUGCCAGCAGCCGCGGUAAUACUGGGGAUUCGUGCGUUAUCCGGAUUGCUGGGGUUCAAAGGGGGCGCAGGGGGUGUGUUACGUCAGCGUGCAAAGCCCGGGGCUAAACCGCGGCCUGCCGUUGAAACUGGCAGUCUUGAGUUGGAGAGAGGUAUGCGGAAUGCGCGGUGUAGCGGUGAAAUGCAUAGAUAUCGGGCAGAACUCCGGUGGCGAAGGCAGCAUGCCGGCUCCACACUGACGCUGAGGCACGAAAGCGUGGGUAGCGAACAGGAUUAGAUACCCGUGUAGUC